CCUACGGGAGGCAGCAGUAGGGAAUUUUCCGCAAUGGACGCAANUCUGACGGAGCAACGCCGCGUGAGUGACGAANGUUUUUCGGAUCGUAAAACUCUGUUGUGAGGGAAGAACAAGUACCAUUUAACUGAUGGUACCUUGACGGUACCUCACCAGAAAGCCACGGCUAACUACGUGCCAGCAGCCGCGGUAAUACGUAGGUGGCAAGCGUUGUCCGGAAUUAUUGGGCGUAAAGCGCGCGCAGGCGGUCCUUUAAGUCUGAUGUGAAAGCCCACGGCUCAACCGUGGAGGGUCAUUGGAAACUGGGGGACUUGAGUGCAGAAGAGGAAAGUGGAAUUCCAUGUGUAGCGGUGAAAUGCGUAGAGAUGUGGAGGAACACCAGUGGCGAAGGCGACUUUCUGGUCUGUAACUGACGCUGAGGCGCGAAAGCGUGGGGAGCAAACAGGAUUAGAUACCCUGGUAGUCCACGCCGUAAACGAUGAGUGCUAAGUGUUAGGGGGUUUCCGCCCCUUAGUGCUGCAGCUAACGCAUUAAGCACUCCGCCUGGGGAGUACGGCCGCAAGGCUGAAACUCAAAUGAAUUGACGGGG
rnacentral:rRNA from 1 species